ensembl:lncRNA
AAAUCAUCAAAAGCAAAACAGGAAACAAAUGUUUGCUCAGCCAACCAUUUCCUGCUGAGGAUGCUGUGCAGAACGUGGCCUGUGAAGGGUUCACUGUGCAGCCUUAAACAGAUUGAAGUGAUUCAUGGGGGGAAGUAGCACCCAACCCAAGGCCUCGUGGAAGCAGGGGCAUCUCAGAGAUCAUCUCCGGUAACAGGGGCUUGACUUUUGUGAUGAGUGAGAGAAUCCAGCUUGCGCGAUCUUAGUUCCUGGACCAGGGAUGUAACCCAUGACCCCUGCAGUGGAAGCGUGGAGUCCUAACCACCAAGUGACCAGGUGCAGUGGCUUGCCUCAGUGAAGAAAGGCUACCUGGAUGCCCACAACAGAACCCAGUUUUGUACAGUAACCCCCCACUGCAAUGUGAGGCUCCAGGUAAUGUGAUCCGUUUUCACACAGCCUAGUGUUAGCGUGCUGCUGCCACUCACUGUAAAGGUUACUAUCUCUCUUUUAUUGUCAUUACAAAAGCUAACUGCAAAACCUGAAACCUAGCUGGGAAAUUGCCUACCUGCACAAAGAACAGAGACCCUAUCGUUUCAGGGUUCAGUUCUUUCCGAGCACUUUUAUAAAGGAGUUUUUGUCUGCCUUGUGAGGCUCCGACCACAGAGGAGCUGGAAAUCCAGGUUAGCUGCGGGCUUAGAGGGUUUCAAUGGAGGAGGUGCUCUUGGGUGUUUGUAUACAGGUGCUUUACAACUUAAGUCACAAAGUUAAUUAAAACUGCAACCCUGAUACAUUUUAGAUAAUGGGGAGGGGGAGAGGAGAAAGACAGAGGGAGAGAGGGAGAGAGAGGAGAGUUUCUGGCUGAAAGAUGUCUCCUGUUUUUGCAGAUCCUAUCAGCUUUCCUUGAAGGAGGUGUUACAGGGUGUUCAUUUUCCUGCUGUUUGCUUUCAGCACCCUCAGGCUCAAGGUUUGAAUUCUACGAUCACAAUGUGGAGGGUGUUGGGAGACUCAUACUUGAAACAAAACACCAACCAUUUUUGACUCCUUCUCUGGGGAUCUUGAGUGAUGAAGAAAUCAUCAAAAACCAUUUCAACAGUUUGACCCUCCCCUGUCUGCAUCCCAG